CUAAAAGCAUAAGUGUCUUUUACUGGCAGGAAGCUGUAACUUCUCAAAUUUUCUGAGGAGGAGGCUGAGAAGUUAAAAAAGAACUCCUUCCUUUUCUCCAUCAGAUGUUUAAACUGAUUUUAUACUACCCAUUCCUUUAAGGCUAGGAGGGGCCGGAAGUCUCACAGGAACAGCUCACAUCCUGCUGCUCUGGAUAAAUAAGAUAAGAACAUAAGAACAGCCAUACUGGGUCAGACCAAAGGUCCAUCUAGCCCAGCAUC
rnacentral:lncRNA from 1 species